GAUGAUGGCUACGGGGGUGAAUAUGAUGACCAGACCUAUGAGACUUAUGAUAACAGCUAUGCCACCCAAACGCAAAGUGUGCCUGAAUACUAUGACUACGGUCAUGGAGUAAGUGAGGAUGCCUAUGACAGCUACGCACCAGAAGAAUGGGCCACAACCCGCUCCAGCCUGAAGGCACCACCGCCAAGGUCAGCCAGAGGGGGAUACAGGGAGCACCCCUAUGGUAGAUAUUGAAGGUCCUUCUCACCCGUGACCUCACCUCAAAGACAAUUCAUAGCCUGUGGUCUCCACAUAAACAGCAACAAGACAAGUAAUAGUCCUUUUUUUUUUUUUUUUUCCUAUUCUAGGGAUAACUGCUCAUGAUUUCUCCCAUAUAUUUCUUGUAUUUCCCCCUAUACUGUUGGCGUGACAUUGACACUAGUAUUAUUUUACAAAACGGACUAAAAAAGACAUUGGCAAGCACUGUCUAUAAACCAUUCAGUAGGAUGAUAUUCUCCUGGUUGUUUUUCAUUGUUGUGUGUAAUCUUUUUUUUUUUCUUUUUUUUCUUUUCCUUUUUUUUUUUUUUUUUUUUAAGAAAGAGCAUGAAUCUGUUAACAGAUUUUGAGUCUCAAUCAACUAGCAAAAACUUUGUUUAGGGUUGCUAAAAGACUGUAAUAUGAUUUUUGAACUAGCUGAUAAUAAAGUUGUAGAUAAGAUGUUUUAACCUGUCUUUUAAUAUCUGUUAGUUAGAUGAAGAUGUUCGAUAUUAAGUUUGUAAAUUUAAUUUUAAAUGCUGUUUUAAUGGAGUUGAAAACAAGCAGCUACUGUAUGUAUGUAGCUAACUGAAUUUGUUCAGUGUUUUAACCUGUAUUUGUUAAAAAAGAAAAAAAAAAACACACACAUAAAGUUCCAUGUGUAAGCUACUCUAAAUAGGAAACCACAAUUUGUCAAAUAUGUUUGCCAUAAUUUGUCAAUAAAGCUGAAAACUUUUGUAAAAACUAAAUUUGGAAUUACUUGUUUUCUAG